UACGUAGGGUGCAAGCGUUGUCCGGAAUUAUUGGGCGUAAAGAGCUCGUAGGCGGUUUGUCGCGUCUGCUGUGAAAACUCAGGGCUUAACCCUGAGCUUGCAGUGGGUACGGGCAGACUAGAGUGUGGUAGGGGAGAUCGGAAUUCCUGGUGUAGCGGUGGAAUGCGCAGAUAUCAGGAGGAACAUCGGUGGCGAAGGCGGAUCUCUGGGCCAUAACUGACGCUGAGGAGCGAAAGCAUGGGGAGCGAACAGG
rnacentral:rRNA from 1 species